AACGAACGCUGGCGGCAUGCCUAACACAUGCAAGUCGAACGAGACCUUCGGGUCUAGUGGCGCACGGGUGCGUAACGCGUGGGAACCUGCCCUUAGGUUCGGAAUAACUCCCCGAAAGGGGUGCUAAUACCGGAUAAUGUCUUCGGACCAAAGAUUUAUCGCCUUUGGAUGGGCCCGCGUUGGAUUAGCUAGUUGGUAGGGUAAAAGCCUACCAAGGCGACGAUCCAUAGCUGGUCUGAGAGGAUGAUCAGCCACACUGGGACUGAGACACGGCCCAGACUCCUACGGGAGGCAGCAGUGGGGAAUAUUGGACAAUGGGCGAAAGCCUGAUCCAGCAAUGCCGCGUGAGUGAUGAAGGCCUUAGGGUUGUAAAGCUCUUUUACCCGGGAUGUUAAUGACAGUACCGUGAGAAUAAGCUCCGGCUAACUCCGUG
rnacentral:rRNA from 1 species